UUUGGUUAAGUUAGAAAGGGCGCACGGUGGAUGCCUUGACACUAGGAGUCGAUGAAGGACGGGACUAACGCCGAUAUGCUUCGGGGAGCUGUAAGUAAGCUUUGAUCCGAAGAUUUCCGAAUGGGGAAACCCACCAUACGUAAUGGUAUGGUAUCCUUAUCUGAAUACAUAGGGUAAGGAAGACAGACCCAGGGAACUGAAACAUCUAAGUACCUGGAGGAAGAGAAAGCAAAUGCGAUUUCCUGAGUAGCGGCGAGCGAAACGGAACAUAGCCCAAACCAAGAGGCUUGCCUCUUGGGGUUGUAGGACAUUCUAUACGGAGUUACAAAGGAACGAGGUAGACGAAGCGACCUGGAAAGGUCCGUCGUAGAGGGUAACAACCCCGUAGUCGAAACUUCGUUCUCUCUUGAAUGUAUCCUGAGUACGGCGGAACACGUGAAAUUCCGUCGGAAUCUGGGAGGACCAUCUCCCAAGGCUAAAUACUCCCUAGUGAUCGAUAGUGAACCAGUACCGUGAGGGAAAGGUGAAAAGCACCCCGGAAGGGGAGUGAAAGAGAUCCUGAAACCGUGUGCCUACAAAUAGUCAGAGCCCGUUAACGGGUGAUGGCGUGCCUUUUGUAGAAUGAACCGGCGAGUUACGAUCCCGUGCGAGGUUAAGCUGAAGAGGCGGAGCCGCAGCGAAAGCGAGUCUGAAUAGGGCGUUUAGUACGUGGUCGUAGACCCGAAACCAGGUGAUCUACCCAUGUCCAGGGUGAAGUUCAGGUAACACUGAAUGGAGGCCCGAACCCACGCACGUUGAAAAGUGCGGGGAUGAGGUGUGGGUAGCGGAGAAAUUCCAAUCGAACCUGGAGAUAGCUGGUUCUCCCCGAAAUAGCUUUAGGGCUAGCCUUAAGUGUAAGAGUCUUGGAGGUAGAGCACUGAUUGGACUAGGGGUCCUCAUCGGAUUACCGAAUUCAGUCAAACUCCGAAUGCCAAUGACUUAUCCUUAGGAGUCAGACUGCGAGUGAUAAGAUCCGUAGUCAAAAGGGAAACAGCCCAGACCGCCAGCUAAGGUCCCAAAGUGUGUAUUAAGUGGAAAAGGAUGUGGAGUUGCUUAGACAACUAGGAUGUUGGCUUAGAAGCAGCCACCAUUUAAAGAGUGCGUAAUAGCUCACUAGUCGAGUGACUCUGCGCCGAAAAUGUACCGGGGCUAAAUACACCACCGAAGCUGCGGAUUGAUACCAAUGGUAUCAGUGGUAGGGGAGCGUUCUAAGGACAGUGAAGUCAGACCGGAAGGACUGGUGGAGUGCUUAGAAGUGAGAAUGCCGGUAUGAGUAGCGAAAGACGGGUGAGAAUCCCGUCCACCGAAUGCCUAAGGUUUCCUGAGGAAGGCUCGUCCGCUCAGGGUUAGUCAGGACCUAAGCCGAGGCCGACAGGCGUAGGCGAUGGACAACAGGUUGAUAUUCCUGUACCACCUCUUUAUCGUUUGAGCAAUGGAGGGACGCAGAAGGAUAGAAGAAGCGUGCGAUUGGUUGUGCACGUCCAAGCAGUUAGGCUGAUAAGUAGGCAAAUCCGCUUAUCNNNNANGCUGAGCUGUGAUGGGGAAGCUCCUUAUGGAGCGAAGUCUUUGAUUCCCCGCUGCCAAGAAAAGCUUCUAGCGAGAUAAAAGGUGCCUGUACCGCAAACCGACACAGGUAGGCGAGGAGAGAAUCCUAAGGUGUGCGAGAGAACUCUGGUUAAGGAACUCGGCAAAAUGACCCCGUAACUUCGGGAGAAGGGGUGCUUUCUUAACGGAAAGCCGCAGUGAAUAGGCCCAAGCGACUGUUUAGCAAAAACACAGCUCUCUGCGAAGCCGUAAGGCGAAGUAUAGGGGGUGACACCUGCCCGGUGCUGGAAGGUUAAGGAGAGGGGUUAGCGUAAGCGAAGCUCUGAACUGAAGCCCCAGUAAACGGCGGCCGUAACUAUAACGGUCCUAAGGUAGCGAAAUUCCUUGUCGGGUAAGUUCCGACCCGCACGAAAGGUGUAACGAUUUGGGCACUGUCUCAACCAGAGACUCGGUGAAAUUAUAGUACCUGUGAAGAUGCAGGUUACCCGCGACAGGACGGAAAGACCCCGUGGAGCUUUACUGUAGCCUGAUAUUGAAUUUUGGUAC
rnacentral:rRNA from 1 species